rnacentral:rRNA from 1 species
GACGAACGCUGGCGGCGCGCUUAACACAUGCAAGUCGAACGGAAAGGCCUGCUUUCCCUUGUGGAUUGCGGGUACUCGAGUGGCGAACGGGUGAGUAACACGUGAGUGAUCUGCCCCCAACUUGGGUAUAAGCCUGGGAAACUGGGUCUAAUUCCCGAUAGGACUGCAGGGUGGUGCCUGUGGUGGAAAACGAUUUUCUAGUGGUUGGGGAUGAGCUCGCGGCCUAUCAGCUUGUUGGUGGGGUAAUGGCCUACCAAGGCGGCGACGGGUAGCCGGCCUGGGAGGGUGGACGGCCACAUUGGGACUGGGAUCCGGCCCAGACUCCUACGGGAAGCAGCAGUGGUGAAUAUUGGACAAUGAGCGGAAGCCUGAUGCAGCGACGCAGCGUGGGGGAUGACGGCCUUCGGGUUGUAAACUCCUUUCGACCGCGAGGAAGCCACCUGGUUGGAAGGGUGGUGACGGUAGUGGUAGAAGAAGCACCGGCUAACUACGUG